UACGUAGGCAGCGAGCGUUGUUCGGAAUUACUGGGCGUAAAGAGUGUGUAGGCGGUGCUCUAAGUUCGGUGUGAAAUCUCCUGGCUCAACUGGGAGGGUGCGCCGGAAACUGGAGUGCUUGAGCGUGGGAGAGGAAAGCGGAAUUCCUGGUGUAGCGGUGAAAUGCGUAGAUAUCAGGAGGAACGCCUGUGGUGUAGACGGCUUUCUGGACCAUAGCUGACGCUGAGACACGAAAGCGUGGGUAGCAAACAGG
rnacentral:rRNA from 1 species